UUUCUGCCCUCCCACUUCAGUUCUAAACCCUGAAUACUGCAGGUUAUGUUUGUCUCAAGUCUGUACUUACUUUUUUUUCUCUCAAAGCAAGGCAACCAUGUGGAAAAAUCAUCCUGAACAGCUUCAACCUCCACUUGUUCCUUCAUCUUCCAGCCACCGAAAGGAACAGGAUGCAUCUGCUUUUCUGGAAAGCACUUAAAGAAAAAUUUAAUGAAGACAUGGUAUUUCUGUUGAGAUGGCAUCGAUGGAGGCAGCUUCAGAGAGACACAGCCGCGAGGUCCACAGCAGUGGGUGGCAUGUCCCAAUUAACUGCUGAUGUUCUCAUUGAAACUUCAGAAU
rnacentral:lncRNA from 1 species